rnacentral:lncRNA from 1 species
UAAGUUGUAACAUUACAUCUAUGAGAGUCUAAUAUAAUUCUUCCUUUAAACAUUUUUGUGUUCUUUACUCUCAUCAAUUUAGCAUGGCAUCAGAGCCCUUGAUCCUAUGGAUUAGGGUUUCUAUUUUGCUUCCGCUUCUAUGAUCUUCUAUAGAUUUUUCUUUUUUUCUUUUUUUUUUUAACGCUUUGCAUUGCAUGAAUGAUAACCACAUAAGUCCAGUACAAGGAAGAAAAACAAGGUAAAGGGAACAAAAUAACCACGAGAAGAACUCAAUCACCUAAUCUUUUAUCCCAUUCAAUACACUCUUGGAGCCACGCCGGUCCUCCUAGUUCCAAAUAAGACGUUAACCGUCCAUCUCUCGUAACGCUGUAGGGAAUCUCCU